rnacentral:rRNA from 1 species
UAGAGGAAGUAAAAGUCGUAACAAGGUCUCCGUUGGUGAACCAGCGGAGGGAUCAUUAUAGAGUCUAAAAAACUCCCAAACCCAUGUGGACAUACCUCAAGUUGCCUCGGCAGGUCGCGCCUACCCGGUAAAGCCCUACCCUGUAGGGCCCUACCCUGUAAUCGCGGGUAAGCCUGCCAGUGGUCCAACCAAACUCUGUUUUUAUUUUGGAAUUCUGAAUCUAUAACUAAAUAAGUUAAAACUUUCAACAACGGAUCUCUUGGUUCUGGCAUCGAUGAAGAACGCAGCGAAAUGCGAUAAGUAAUGUGAAUUGCAGAAUUCAGUGAAUCAUCGAAUCUUUGAACGCACAUUGCGCCCACUAGCAUUCUGGUGGGCAUGCCUGUUCGAGCGUCAUUUCAACCCUUAAGCCCUGUUGCUUAGCGUUGGGAGCCUACAGCACUGUAGCUCCCCAAAGUUAGUGGCGGAGUCGGUAUCACACUCUAGACGUAGUAAAUCUCUCUCGUCUGUAGUUGAGCCGGUCCCCUGCCGUAAAACCCCCCAAUUUAUCAAGGUUGACCUCGGAUCAGGUAGGAAUACCCGCUGAACUUAAGCAUA